rnacentral:rRNA from 1 species
UAAGCCCGAUGAACCCGAAUAUCUGAUGUGAGAAAUUCAAUACUGUUUAUUCUAUUUUUAUAAGAUAAAUCGUAUGCACUUUUCUCAUAGUAAGACAUUGUAAUCCAUUGAUGUUAUAUUUCUUUGAAAUGACCUAACAAACGAACAGGAUGAAUAUGAUUAUUCUAUCAGUGAUGUGCUUACAUAUCAUAUGAAUAAAAUUCGUUUUGUAUCUGUUUAGGUAGUUGAUGGAUUAAAUGAAAGUCAUGCUUGCAAUUCAUUUGCAUUUCGUAUUAUUGAUUUUUAAUCGGUAAUAGCAGAAAUGGCAUGUGCUUGAUUAACAAUGCGAUAGAUUUGGGAUGCCUUCGGGACCCGUCUUGAAACACGGACCAAGGAGUUCAACAUAUGUGCAAGUCAUUGGGUAUUUCGAUGAAACCUAAUGGCGCAAUUAAAAUGACUAUAUUUUAAUUUGGGAUCAGAGGUAAUGUUCACAUUUCUGCAUUAUUUUUCAAUCCCGGGGCGUUCUAAUAAAACAUGGUGUAAGCGAUUAUGUCCUCUGUUUAAGAGCGUACCUUGAGCACAUAUGCUGU